rnacentral:rRNA from 1 species
AUGGCCCGCGCCUCAUCGCCACGCCACGCCACCGCCAGCGCAACGGAACGGGCACGCCACGCGCCCCUCCGCCCCUUUUCUUCUUCUUCUUCUCGACUCUCCGCCAUUGCGCGAACCAAGAACAGAGAAGCGAGGCGGCGGCAACCCUUUCCUCCAAUCUCUUUCCAUUCGAGACGUCUGCGGAGCAGGAAAGGCAUGGUCGCCAUGCUGCCCGCCGCGAGGGGAGACGCCGCCCCGGCCGCCAGCGCCGGCGCCGCCGAGAAGCUCCUCCAUGGGCCUCUCGCUGACGGCAAGUGCAAGAAGAAGGCCCCGAGGAUGAUUCACAAGGCCGAGAGGGAGAAGCAUAAGCGCGACCUGCUCAACGAUCUCUUCAGUGAGCUUGGCGAAAUGCUUGAAGCAGACAGGCAGACAAAUGGGAAAGCAUGUAUAUUGACUGACACCACUCGAAUCCUUCGAGAUCUGCUCUCGCAAUUAGAGUCUCUCCGAAAGGAGAAUAGCACACUGCAGAAUGAAUCCCAUUAUGUUACAAUGGAGAGGAAUGAGCUGCAGGAUGAGAACAGUGUGCUCCGCAACGAAAUUCUGGAGCUACAAAAGGAGCUGACGAUGCCUCAUGCUGUGUCUCACUCUGCGAACACAGUUUUCCCGUCACAGCAGCCAAUGCAGCCGGCCACCAUCGCAAGCGCAGUAUUCCCCUUGCAGCAGCCACUGCUACAGACAACCAUCCUGGAGCACCCUUAUGCACCACCACCACCACCACGGGAACUUAAGCUCUUCCCAGACGCGGCAUCUGACGUCGAAGGCCUUGAACCAUCAGAAGAUCCGGAGGCCACCAACCAUAUCACGCGCCCGCUGGCAAGGUACCCAACAGAGUCAGCUUCGUGGCCUGUAACUGUAAGCCUGGGUCUCCCGAGGAUGGAAGAUGAACAAUGCAGCAGUGGCACAACCGGCAGUAGCAACGAAGGUAGUAGCUCUGCCUCUUCUAGAGAUUGA